GAUGAACGCUGGCGGCGUGCCUAAUACAUGCAAGUCGAGCGAACAGACGAUGAGCUUGCUCCUCUGACGUUAGCGGCGGACGGGUGAGUAACACGUGGAUAACCUACCUAUAAGACUGGGAUAACUUCGGGAAACCGGAGCUAAUACCGUAUAAUAUAUUGAACCGCAUGGUUCAAUAGUGAAAGACGGUUUUGCUGUCACUUAUCGAUGGAUCCGCGCCGCAUUAGCUAGUUGGUAAGGUAACGACUUACCAAGGCAACGAUGCGUAGCCGACCUGAGAGGGUAUUAGGCGACACUAGAACUGAGGCACGGUCCAGAAUCCUGCGGGAGGGAGCAGAAGGGAAACUUCCGCAGUGGGCGAGAGACUGACGAAGCAAAGCCGCGAGAGUGAUGAAGGUAUUCGGAUCGUAAAACUCUGUUAUUAGGGAAGAACAAAUGUGGAAAUAACUAAGCACGUCAUGACGGUACCAAAUCAGAAAGCCACAGCUAACUACGUG
rnacentral:rRNA from 1 species